GGCUGCAGUGCAUUGUUAUCCGACUAAGGAUUUCGCACAUAGUUUACAGUCCAGUUUAUUUAAGUACAGAACCGGUCGGGAAACCGACGGUUUCGAAACCUAUGCACGGGUCUCCAAUCAACUGUAUGUGUAUCCAUGUAUCGGUUUUCGUGGUAACAACUCUGAAAACCACGAUAAACCUUCAGUCUGGGACAAUGGAAAGGACUGGAACGCUUUGCACUAAAGAAGAAUCCUCAAGGUUCGUCGAGGAAGACGUCAGAUAUACGUUUCAUUCGACAGGAACGUUCCCGCCCGACUAUGUAAUACGGUUCCAACAAACGCUGCGCGAACGCAAUGAUGGGAUGGUGAUGGUUGAAAGGCACGUUUUAUUGUUAGAAAUUCUCGGUUUAUUGAAAGUUUUAUUGAAUAUUUACAUUAAUUCACACCUUUCGCUGCUAACCUCUUGUCGCGUUCUUCAGCGAUUGAUAGCUUAACACCCUUAUCCCUCGGUAAACUAAUGUAGGGCUUUGUACCUCUGCCAAUGAUGAACACGUUAUUCAACCUGCGCAAAGUAA